AUUGAACGCUGGCGGUAUGCUUAACACAUGCAAGUCGAACGGUAGCAUGACUUAGCUUGCUAAGUUGAUGACGAGUGGCGAACGGGUGAGUAACGCGUAGGAAUAUGCCUUAAAGUGGGGGACAACUUGGGGAAACUCAAGCUAAUACCGCAUAAUUUCUUAGGAAAAAAGCUGGGGACCUUCGGGCCUGGCGCUUUAAGAUUAGCCUGCGUACGAUUAGCUAGUUGGUAGGGUAAAGGCCUACCAAGGCGACGAUCGUUAGCUGGUCUGAGAGGAUGGCCAGCCACACUGGAACUGAGGCACGGUCCAGACUCCUACGGGAGGCAGCAGUGGGGAAUAUUGGACAAUGGGGGCAACCCUGAUCCAGCAAUACCGCGUGUGUGAAGAAGGCCUGAGGGUUGUAAAGCACUUUCAGUGGGGAGGAGAGUAUUUAGGUUAAGAGCUAGAAUACUGGACGUUACCCACAGAAGAAGCACCGGCUAACUCCGUGCCAGCCGCCGCAGUAA
rnacentral:rRNA from 1 species